rnacentral:miRNA from 1 species
GUUUUCUUAGGUUUUGAUUUU